AUACGUAGGGGGCGAGCGUUGUCCGGAAUGAUUGGGCGUAAAGGGCGCGUAGGCGGCCCGGUAAGUCUGGAGUGAAAGUCCUGUUUUUAAGAUGGGAAUUGCUUUGGAUACUGUCGGGCUUGAGUGCAGGAGAGGUAAGUGGAAUUCCCAGUGUCGCGGGGAAAUGCGUAGAGAUUGGGAGGAACACCAGUGGCGAAGGCGACUUACUGGACUGUAACUGACGCUGAGGCGCGAAAGUGUGGGGAGCAAACAGGAUUAGAUACCCUGGUAGUCCACACUGUAAACGAUGAAUGCUAGGUGUAGGGGGUAUCGACCCCUUCUGUGCCGCAGUCAACACAAUAAGCAUUCCGCCUGGGGAGUACGGCCGCAAGGUUGAAACUCAAAUGAAUUGACGGGG
rnacentral:rRNA from 1 species